CACACAAAUGUGCUCAGCCAAUCACAUCAGCCGGCGUUCGAGCGUAAGGUUGAAGACAUUGCGCUUCUAUUACGCAGAGAAGGCUACUAGUGCUAAGCCACCAUAGAUCUGUAUAAAUAACUGGAAGUAGAGCCAUUACUGAAGUGCUCCCUGACGUAAACUCGGAAGCGUAUGAAGUUACUGACUUUCACAUCAUCUUUGUACAAAUAUGUCUGGAUCUGGACUAACGUGUGCCGUAAUCGGAUGUCACAAUAACAGCAGAAAGCUAAAAAUGUGGGAAAAAGAGCGUAUGUGCGCUUCAUAGUCCACAGUUUAAAGAGGAUUGUCCUUGUUGUGUGCCCUACGGUGUACACCGCUUCCCCGGCCGUGCUGAGGAUGAAGACAUUCGCAAGAUGUGGAUUAAAAACGUACACCGAAAGGACUUUGCCCCCAAACAAGUAUUCAAGGGUGUGUGCGGAGUACACUUCCCUGACGGCAGACCAACGCAGGAACACCCAUAUCCCAUAAUAUGGGAUAUGAAUAUAGUAAAGCACCAUCAUGUGGAAGACCACCCCCAAAGAGGAGAUGUCUCCAGCCCCCAACAGAGAGACUUGGAUUAAUGUUGAGAGGAUUAUUGUUCAAUACGGUGUAGAAACACUUGGUUCAGUUAUAUGUAUAUAUCUAUCAUCUUUCAAGAAAUCCUUCAUCCCCUCAGCUGUGACCAUACUGAACAAGAGAUGAACUGUCCAGCUGCAGCAUGCAUGUAUUGUGUGGUCUUGUCUUUUUUUUUUUUGGUCAAGCCUUGUCUAAUGUCUGUGAGAAUCACUGAAGCCACGCCAAAGACAAUUUUCUUUUUCAUGGGUGUAACAGACAAUUAAGUUUUAUCUAAUCUAAUCAUAUCAAUGAGAAUCAGUGCACCUGACAAAGGUAUGACAUACCGUAUACUGUAGGCUUAAAUGCUAAAGAAAAAUGAAUUAACCUGGCGGUUUUGAAUUGUUUAUUUACACAGUUAUUAAAAUGCAUACAGAUAGUGAAUUUAAUAUAGUUCAAUACUGUGUGCUUACUUGAUGGUGUUUUUUAUAUGUGCUGAACUGAAAAACAACCUAGCUACUUGUGCUCAAUAUCCAACUGCAGCAUUGUAGUUGCAGGUGGGGGGUGGUGGUUGUUCAAAUUUGACACACACCUUACAUUGGUCCACUUUACAAAUGGCCCCAUACACUAAAUGACUCUUGCUGGUGUGUUUUUUACUAGGCAACUUGUUAUUAAUCACUAAUGUUCUUAAUGUCAUUUCAAUGCAGCUCUUUGUGAGAAAUCUGGGCAGCCAUGGCCUAGUGCAGGGAUGUCAAACUCAGGCCCGGGGGCCAAAUCUGGCCCGCAGAGUCAUUUCAUUUGGCCCGUAAGAUCAUUUCAAAUGUGUAUUACAGUUGGCCCACAUACACCAUUAAUAUAUAGCAUAAGACCUGAACAUAAAAUGUAAUGUGUCAAAAAAAAUAUGAGUGGGCUGGGCAUAGGCCAGUAAAACAGCUCACACUACUGCAACAGAGUAUCUGCAGGCACAUUUGAACUACGAUGGGAAUCUGUUUGUGAAAUUUAAUUAUGAGAUUAAGUGUGUUUGCACAAUUUUAGGCCGUUGUAAAUAUUGAGUUUGGCCCGCGACUUUGUUCCAGAUUUGUAUUUUGGCCCUCUGUGAGUUUGAGUUUGACACCCCUGGCCUAGUGGUUAGAGAGUUGGUCUUUCAAUCUAGGGGUUGCUGGUUCGAAUCCCCCACGACCUCUCCCUACACCUCCAUCCAUGGCUGAAGUGCCCUUGAGCAAGUCACCUAACCCCACAUUACUCCAGGGACUGUAACCAAUACCCUGAAAAAUAAUAGUUGUAAGUCGCUUUGAACAAAUGAAAGCGUCAGCUAAGUGAAAUGUUAUGUAAUGUAAAAUCUUGCUGCAGUGUGUUGUGGAAUAGACACAGGAGCUGACCUGUGGUGUCCAGUCUUAACAGAGAGCUGGUGCCACUGUCACACAUUCAAUUUAAUUAAUCAUUAUCCCCCUUAUAUUGAUUGGGAAAUGUUAUACUGGCUUUUUUUCAUUACCUCCUGACUAUACCAGACAUCAUUUUUAUCAUUACCUCUGCCACAUAAUAUGUGAUUGAGUUUUGCAGUCUGUCUGUUUGUUCAUCGCUGGGUGCACAGCUUGCCACUAAGGGGCGCCAAAUCCUUACUUAUUGCUGGAGACGCUACCACAAGGAGAGGACGGGAGGUGAUGUCUUCUAAAAGGGCUGUGGUUAAGUAGCCUAAGCAAUCAGCUGGUGCAACCCACUGUCUUAACACUGCCUCAAAAUAUCAGUUCUUGCAAGGCACGAUUUACAUGGUGAAAUUAAUGACAUGUUGAGGCCAACAAGGCUUUAUUUUAUCAGUUAGAGGGACACUGUGCAGGAAAUGGUCAAAAAGGGUACUGCAACUAUGCUGCUCAUUGUAACUGGGUUGCCUAUUGCCAAAUUUGAUCUUUUCAUGAUAGUUUACUAAAUAAUAAACUCAGAUUUUCUGUUAUGGCCCAAGUACAGUCCUUUUUGCAGCUAAAAAUGGCUAUUUCUGGAAAUUCAAAAUGGCGGACAAUGAUGGAGGAGAUCCCCCUUUGUAUGUAAAAUGAAAAGUGCAAUUUUUCCAGUCAUAAUGAAUACUUAGAAUUUGAUGGUGGUGGUAAGUAUUCAUGAAAAAGGUAACAUUAGUGAAUGAGUAGCAUGAAUUCUGGAAAUAAACAACUAUAAAUCUU